AGGUGAAACUGAAUUGAUUCAAUUUUUAUGUUACAGGAGAUUACCUGGGGCAAUUGAUGUUAUCGGUCAGACUAUAACUAUCAGCCGAGUAGAAGGAAGGCGACGGGCAAAUGAGAACAGCAACAUACAGGUCCUUUCUGAAAGAUCUGCUACUGAAGUAGACAACAAUUUUAGCAAACCACCUCCGUUUUUCCCUCCAGGAGCUCCUCCCACUCACCUUCCACCUCCUCCAUUUCUUCCACCUCCUCCGACUGUCAGCACUGCUCCACCUCUGAUUCCACCACCGGGUUUUCCUCCUCCACCAGGCGCUCCACCUCCAUCUCUUAUACCAACAAUAGAAAGUGGACAUUCCUCUGGUUAUGAUAGUCGUUCUGCACGUGCAUUUCCAUAUGGCAAUGUUGCCUUCCCCCAUCUUCCUGGUUCUGCUCCUUCAUGGCCUAGUCUUGUGGACACCAGCAAGCAGUGGGACUAUUAUGCCAGAAGAGAGAAAGACCGAGAUAGAGAGAGAGACAGAGACAGAGAGCGAGACCGUGAUCGGGACAGAGAAAGAGAACGCACCAGAGAGAGAGAGAGGGAGCGUGAUCACAGUCCUACACCAAGUGUUUUCAACAGCGAUGAAGAACGAUACAGAUACAGGGAAUAUGCAGAAAGAGGUUAUGAGCGUCACAGAGCAAGUCGAGAGAAAGAAGAACGACAUAGAGAAAGACGACACAGGGAGAAAGAGGAAACCAGACAUAAGUCUUCUCGAAGUAAUAGUAGACGUCGCCAUGAAAGUGAAGAAGGAGAUAGUCACAGGAGACACAAACACAAAAAAUCUAAAAGAAGCAAAGAAGGAAAAGAAGCGGGCAGUGAGCCUGCCCCUGAACAGGAGAGCACCGAAGCUACACCUGCAGAAUAGGCAUGGUUUUGGCCUUUUGUGUAUAUUAGUACCAGAAGUAGAUACUAUAAAUCUUGUUAUUUUUCUGGAUAAUGUUUAAGAAAUUUACCUUAAAUCUUGUUCUGUUUGUUAGUAUGAAAAGUUAACUUUUUUUCCAAAAUAAAAGAGUGAAUUUUUCAUGUUAAGUUAAAAA
rnacentral:sRNA from 1 species